rnacentral:rRNA from 1 species
GGGGAAUAUUGCACAAUGGGGGGAACCCUGAUGCAGCGAUGCCGCGUGGAGGAAGAAGGUUUUCGGAUUGUAAACUCCUUUUAACAGGGACGAUAAUGACGGUACCUGAAGAAAAAGCUCCGGCUAACUACGUGCCAGCAGCCGCGGUAAUACGUAGGGAGCGAGCGUUGUCCGGAAUUACUGGGUGUAAAGGGAGCGUAGGCGGGACGGUAAGUCAGGUGUGAAAUAUACGUGCUCAACAUGUAGACUGCACUUGAAACUGCUGUUCUUGAGUGAAGUAGAGGUAAGCGGAAUUCCUAGUGUAGCGGUGAAAUGCGUAGAUAUUAGGAGGAACAUCGGUGGCGAAGGCGGCUUACUGGGCUUUUACUGACGCUGAGGCUCGAAAGCGUGGGGAGCAAACAGGAUUAGAUACCCUGGUAGUCCACGCUGUAAACGAUGAUUACUAGGUGUGGGGGGACUGACCCCUUCCGUGCCGCAGUUAACACAAUAAGUAAUCCACCUGGGGAGUACGACCGCAAGGUUGAAACUCAAAGGAAUUGACGGGGGCCCGCACAAGCAGUGGAGUAUGUGGUUUAAUUCGAAGCAACGCGAAGAACCUUACCAGGUCUUGACAUCGUAUGCAUAGUCUAGAGAUAGAUGAAAUCCCUUCGGGGACAUAUAGACAGGUGGUGCAUGGUUGUCGUCAGCUCGUGUCGUGAGAUGUUGGGUUAAGUCCCGCAACGAGCGCAACCCUUACCUUUAGUUGCUACGCAAGAGCACUCUAGAGGGACUGCCGUUGACAAAACGGAGGAAGGUGGGGAUGACGUCAAAUCAUCAUGCCCCUUAUGACCUGGGCUACACACGUACUACAAUGGCAAUUAACAGAGGGAAGCAAAACAGCGAUGUGGAGCAAAUCCCGAAAAAUUGUCUCAGUUCAGAUUGCAGGCUGCAACUCGCCUGCAUGAAGUCGGAAUUGCUAGUAAUCGCAGAUCAGAAUGCUGCGGUGAAUACGUUCCCG